rnacentral:pre_miRNA from 1 species
GGGGGGAGAGCUGGAUCUUGGGCUGUGUCCCCGGCGCCCUGGGCUCCGGGGCCUGCGCUGCUGGAAUCGCGCUCCCGGGGCCGCGCAGCCGCCU